rnacentral:rRNA from 1 species
GCGGCUACACAUGCAGUCGAGCGAACAGAGAAGGAGCUUGGUCCUUUGACGUUCGCGGCGGACGGGUGAGUAACACGUGGGCAACCUACCCUAUAGUUUGGGAUAACUCCCGGAAACCGGGGCUAAUACCGAAUAAUCUUUUGUCCCUCAUGGAACAAUACUGACAGACGGCUUCGGCUGUCGCUAUCGGAUGGGCCCGCGGCGCAUUAGCUAGUUGGUGAGGUAACGGCUCAACAAGGCCACGAUGCGCAGACAACCUGAGAGGGUGAUCUGCCACUCUGAGACUGAGACACGGCCCAGACUCCUACGGGAGGCAGCAUAUUGGAAUCUUCCACAAUGGGCGAAAGCCUGAUGGAGCGACGCCGCGGGAGUGAAGAAGGAUUUCGGGUCGUUUAACUCUGUUGGAAGGGAAGAACGAGUACAGCAUUGACUGGUUGUACCUUGACGGUACCUUAUUAGAAAGACCUGCCUAACUACGUGCCAGCUGCCGCGGAAAUACCUAGGGGGCAAGCGAUGUCCGGAAUUAUUGGGCGUAAAGCGCGCGCUGGUGGUUUCUAUGUGCUGAUGUGAGAGUCCACCGCUCAACCGUGUAGGAUCCUUGGAAACUGGGAGACUUGAGUGCAGAAGAGGAUUCCAGGAUUCCCAGUGUAGCGCGUGAGAUGCGUAGAGAUUUAGCAGGAACACCAGUGGCGAACGCGACUAUAUAGUCUGUAUCUGACACUGAAGCGCGACAAGCGUGGGGAGCAUACAUGCUCUAGAUACCCCGCGUCGUCCACGCCUGUAAACGAUGAGUGUUGAGCGUUAGGGGCGUUUCCUUCCCGUAACUGCUGCGGCUAAUGCAUCUACCCGCUCCGCCUGGCGAGUACGGUCAGCAAUACUAGAGACUCGACGGAGUCGCGCGGGGGCCGUCNCAAGNNGUGGAUCAUGUNGAUGAUUCGGAGNUA